UCCUAAGGGAAGAAACAAAUGACGGUACCUUAGGAGGUAAGCCCCGGCUAACUACGUGCCAGCAGCCGCGGUAAUACGUAGGGGGCAAGCGUUAUCCGGAAUCACUGGGCGUAAAGGGUGCGUAGGCGGCUUAGCAAGCCAGGGGUGAAAGGCAUUGGCUCAACCAAUGUAAGCCUUUGGAACUGUUAAGCUUGAGUGCAGGAGAGGUAAGUGGAAUUCCUAGUGUAGAGGUGAAAUUCGUAGAUAUUAGGAGGAACACCAGUGGCGAAGGCGACUUACUGGACUGUAACUGACGCUGAUGCACGAAAGCGUGGGUAGCCGAACAGGAUUAGAUACCCCUGGGAG
rnacentral:rRNA from 1 species